CAUCGCCUCCCGCAAAAAUCAAAAUAUAGGAGGUCUUACCUGCCCAGUGACAUCAAGUUAAACGGCCGCGGUAUCCUGACCGUGCUAAGGUAGCGCAAUCACUUGUCUUUUAAAUAGAGACCUGUAUGAAUGGUGGAACGAGGGCUUAACUGUCUCCCUUUUCAGGUCAAUGAAAUUGAUCUACCCGUGCAGAAGCGGACAUAACAAUACAAGACGAGAAGACCCUUUGGAGCUUCAGGCACAGAGUUAACUGUAUAAAUAACUCUAAACUAAACAUAGAUUAAACGAAACAGCAAUAUUUAUAACUCUUUUAAGCCUUCGGUUGGGGCGACCGUGGGGGAAAACAAAGCCCCCAUGAGGAGUGGGAAAUUCCUAAAACUAAGAGGGACACCUCUAAGUCACAGAACAUCUGACCAUACAGAUCCGGCAACUAAGCCGAUUAACGAACCAAGUUACCCUAGGGAUAACAGCGCAAUCCCCUCCAAGAGUUCUUAUCGACAAGGGGGUUUACGACCUCGAUGUUGGAUCAGGACAUCCUAAUGGUGCAGCCGCUAUUAAGGGUUCGUUUGUUCAACGAUUAAAGUCCUACGUGAUUG
rnacentral:rRNA from 1 species